GGAAAAGAAACUAACAAGGAUUCCCCUAGUAACUGCGAGUGAAGCGGGAAAAGCUCAAAUUUCAAAUCUGGUGUCUCUACCGUCCGACUUGUAAUCUACAGAAGUGCCGCCCGCGCUACGACCUAUGUACAACUCUCCUGGAAUGGAGCGUCAUAUAAGGUGACAAUCUCGUCUUUGACAUGGCCUUUCUGGGGCUUAGUGGCACGCUCUCAAAGAGUCGAGUUGUUUGGGAAUGCAGCUCAAAAUUGGUGGUAAAUGCCAUCUAAAGCUAAAUACAGGCGAGAGACCGAUAGUGAACAAGUACCGUGAGGGAAAAAUGAAAAGAACUUUGGAAAGAGAGUUAAACAGUACGUGAAAUUGCUGAAAGGGAAACGCUUGAAGUCAGUCUCAUCAACUUGCAAUCAACCUUUGCUUCUGCUGGGUGCACUUUCUAGAUUCGAUGGCUCAGCAUCCAUUUUGGCCACUGGAAAAAGGCCGUAGGGAAUGUGACAUUCUUUGUGCAUGUGUUAUAGCCCAUGGUCAUAUGCAGUGGUUGGGAUUGACGAACUCAGCAUGCCCGCAAGGGCUGGGUUUUUUUAACCACAUCUCUGCUUAGGAUGCUGGCAUAAUGGCUUUAA
rnacentral:rRNA from 1 species